GAUGAACGCUAGCGGCAGGCCUAAUACAUGCAAGUCGAACGCGGGGUAGCAAUACCUCGAGUGGCGCACGGGUGCGUAACGCGUAACCAACCUGCCCUUGACUGGGGGAUAGCCCGCCGAAAGGCGGAUUAAUACCGCAUAAACCAGCAGCCUGGCAUCAGGCAACUGGAAAAGAUUUAUUGGUCAAGGAUGGGGUUGCGUGACAUUAGCUAGUUGGCGGGGUAACGGCCCACCAAGGCGACGAUGUCUAGGGGACCUGAGAGGGUGAUCCCCCACACUGGCACUGAGAUACGGGCCAGACGCCUACGGGAGGCAGCAGUAGGGAAUAUUGGGCAAUGGGCGAGAGCCUGACCCAGCCAUGCCGCGUGCCGGAUGAAGGCCUUCUGGGUUGAAAACGGCUUUUCUCAGGGAAGAAAACGACCAUGCGUGGUACACUGACGGUACCUGAGGAAUAAGCACCGGCUAACUCCGUGCCAGCCGCCGCUGUAACAC
rnacentral:rRNA from 1 species